GAUGAAGAACGUAGUGAAAUGCGAUACGUAAUGUGAAUUGCAGAAUUCAGUGAAUCAUCGAGUCUUUGAACGCACAUUGCGCCCCCUGGUAUUCCGGGGGGCAUGCCUGUCCGAGCGUCAUUGCUGCCCUCAAGCACGGCUUGUGUGUUGGGCCUCCGCCCCCCGGCUCCCGGGGGGCGGGCCCGAAAGGCAGCGGCGGCACCGCGUCCGGUCCUCGAGCGUAUGGGGCUUCGUCACCCGCUCCGUAGGCCCGGCCGGCGCCCGCCGGCGACCCCCCUCAAUCUUUCCAGGUUGACCUCGGAUCAGGUAAGGAUACCCGCUGAACUUAAGCAUAUCAAUAAGCGGAGGA
rnacentral:misc_RNA from 1 species